ACGUACUUCUUUAUAUACCCAUAUAUGAGUGAUAGACUGUUAUGGAAUGUAAAGAAGUAUGUAU
rnacentral:pre_miRNA from 1 species